rnacentral:rRNA from 1 species
AGAGUUUGAUCCUGGCUCAGGACGAACGCUGGCGGCGUGCUUAACACAUGCAAGUUGAACGGAGCACAUUAAGUAGCAAUACGAGGUGUGCUUAGUAGCGGACGGGUGAGUAACGCGUGAGUAACCUACCUUUGUGAGGGGGACAACAGCUGGAAACGGCUGCUAAUACCGCAUAAGGCCACGACUCCGAUUGGAGACGAGGUAAAAGAUUUAUCGCACAAAGAUGGACUCGCGUCCCAUUAGCUAGUUGGUGAGGUAACGGCCCACCAAGGCGACGAUGGGUAGCCGACCUGAGAGGGUGAUCGGCCACACUGGAACUGAGACACGGUCCAGACUCCUACGGGAGGCAGCAGUGGGGAAUAUUGGGCAAUGGGCGAAAGCCUGACCCAGCAACGCCGCGUGAGGGAAGAAGGUCUUCGGAUUGUAAACCUCUGUCCUUGGGGACGAAAAAAAUGACGGUACCCAAGGAGGAAGCUCCGGCUAACUACGUGCCAGCAGCCGCGGUAAUACGUAGGGAGCGAGCGUUGUCCGGAAUUACUGGGCGUAAAGGGUGCGUAGGUGGCCUAGCAAGUCAGAUGUGAAAUCCCCGGGCUUAACUCGGGGGGUGCAUUUGAAACUGCCAGGCUUGAGUGCAGGAGAGGAAAGCGGAAUUCCUAGUGUAGCGGUGAAAUGCGUAGAUAUUAGGAGGAACACCAGUGGCGAAGGCGGCUUUCUGGACUGUAACUGACACUGAGGCACGAAAGCGUGGGGAGCAAACAGGAUUAGAUACCCUGGUAGUCCACGCUGUAAACGAUGAGUGCUAGGUGUAGGGGGCUUAGGACCUCAGUGCCACAGCUAACGCAAUAAGCACUCCGCCUGGGGAGUACGGUCGCAAGACUGAAACUCAAAGGAAUUGACGGGGGCCCGCACAAGCGGUGGAGCAUGUGGUUUAAUUCGACGCAACGCGAAGAACCUUACCUGGGCUUGACAUGUUAGUAGUAAGAACCCGAAAGGGGGAUGACCUGUAGCAAUACGAACACGGAGACAGGUGGUGCAUGGUUGUCGUCAGCUCGUGUCGUGAGAUGUUGGGUUAAGUCCCGCAACGAGCGCAACCCUUAUCCUCUGUUACCCCGCAAGGGGGUCUCUGAGGAAACUGCCGGCGAUGAGCUGGAGGAAGGUGGGGAUGACGUCAAGUCAUCAUGGCCCUUAUGUCCAGGGCUACACACGUGCUACAAUGGCCGCUACAGAGGGAUGCAAGACCGCGAGGUGGAGCAAAUCCCUAAAAUUCGUCGUAGUUGGGAUCGGAGUCUGCAACUCGACUCCGUGAACCUGGAAUCGCUAGUAAUCGCGGAUCAGAACGCCGCGGUGAAUACGUUCCCGGGCCUUGUACACACCGCCCGUCACACCACGAAAGCCUGUUGUACCCAAAGUAGGUGCGCUAACCCGCAAGGGAGGCAGCCUCCUAAGGUAUGGCCGGUAAUUGGGGUGAAGUCGUAACAAGGUAACC